AAGCUUCAGCAUCUUCAGCCACUACUUUCAGCAAAAAGCAUUCACACUAACAUCGUCGCAGUUUUUCCAGGGGAAUCUCAUGGACACAGAAGAGAACAUGUGGAACGUCGAAGGUCCUGACAGUCAUGAAAGGAUCAGCAUCCUAACAAACCUUAAGUAACAUUUACAUUUAAAGUUUCCUCUUCUCCCCACCUUUCCACCCCCAUCUCUCCCACAUGGUUCAUCCCCUUCAUCCUAAUAUUGCUGAUGGAAUCUGCACUCUGAUCCGUCCGAGGACGUCACGCUGAGCCUGUUAUUUUUGGUUCCUGUGUUUCUCAUCUCAGUAGUGGUUGUGUUAUCGCAUCUCGAAUGAUUAGAUAAUAACAAUACAUUUGUCUGAAUGCUUCGGCUCCUGUGGGAUAGUGGGAUGAUAGAGUGAAAAACACUUUGAAAAUGCUGCUUUUGGAAAAAAGCGCCUCGACGGGAACAUGUAGAAGAUGAAAUUUGGAAAACAAAUUGUCAUUUAAAUGAACAUAAAUUCCAACUAUUGUGAGUAUAAUGUCUCCAUCAGACUGUUGAGUAACAGUGAGCAUCUAUUGGACUGUAACAUCUCUGUGGGAUUUAUUUCAUAUUUACUGCCAGCAGUUUGUAAAACAGAUUUUUUAAGAAAACAAGGGAGUGAAGCUUAAUGUGUUUGGGGUUGUUUUAAAGACCUUUUCUGUAUAGUUUAGGAAUAAAGAUUGUUCUGGAGUGA